UCCAGGAACUGAGCCCAAAGCAGACCAGAGCAGCAGACUGGACGGGCCACAGUCAGAAUUUGGAGCUUGUGGACGAGCGAUGGACAGCUGGACUCUACAGGGGGACAGCUACUCCUUCCUGCGAAGUGCACCCCGCAACACGUUUUCCCUGUGCCAUCGGGACGGCACCCCCAACCAGGUUGAAAUCUUCGACAUCAUAAACGUACCAAGUCAGCGCAGUGUCAUCUCCGAGACCACCAGCCUUUGUGACAUUUUUGGAGACGACUGUGAGUCACCGUCUGUCUCCAGUAGCCCUGCUGCCGGGACUUUUGUUCCUCCGCGUAGGGAGGUGGACGGGUCAGCUGCUGCCUCAUCUCUGGCGGAUGAUCUGAACGACUCGUCGGGCUCUUACCACACUGCUCCGGGGUCCAGUGAAGGCGAGGAGGGAUUUGAAGAUUCUAGAGAAAGGGUUUGCAGUCCCCUGUUGCAGUGCGAUUCUUCAGAAAGGAGGCAGCUGGCGGGUGAGGGACUGACCUCAGGGCUUACAGAAGUUUCCGACGAUAGAAGCCCAAAUUUAGAACCAGAAAGUAAAUCACCCGCACCUCAAUUUAGUACAGCAAGCCCAUCGUCAUCAGUCCUCAACACUGGUGAGAGCACACCCUCUCCUGGACAUAAUAGCCCCUUUACCCUCAGUAUAGAGGGAAGCUUGUCAUCCUUGUCUUCUUCCCCAGUUGAAAAAACACCAUCAUCACCUAGUCCUAGAAAAGCCUACCCAGAAACGGAUGCAAGAAGAACCACUCCCACUUUCAUUGAUAGAUCUCCGUCUCUAACUCCAAGCCCCUCACCUGAGCCUGGGAACUGUGUCACCUCAUCUUCCUGUGAAUCAGUGAACACCCAGUUGUUACCUGAGUUGGGUGUCGCACAGGCUUACCCUGAGCCCGGGAGCAGCUGCUUUAAUCAACACAGCAGUCCCUCACCCGAGCCCACAUCCAAAGAGCUUUCUCUGGAUUCUACAGAAUCCACGUUUGAUUCUGCAGCCACACUUCUAUCUCCUUCACCCUCAGCCAGUAUUACAGAGUUAUCAUCCCAGUCGAGAGAGACACUGGCCUCACCUCAGUUGAAAGACAAGCCUUCCUCCUGGGAUUCGCAAGCGUCCUCUCCUUUUUCUGAGCUAAGAGGGAGGGUGUUCCUGCUUGAUCUCCUCAGCAGAGGCUCAACACCUGAUAACGGAGAUUUUACCCACAUCCCUGAGCAGAUUUUAGAUUCUUCCACUGCAAGAGGACACGAUACAACCACUCCUGAGAGCCAAGAUACAAGACUCAGUGCUGUAUGUACACCACCUUCACCUGUUUCAUCACCAGCAGCAUCUCCUCAGCUUGUGCAUAGCAUCUCACCUGAAUUGAUACACACAGUUCCCUCACCUGGCCAACCCUGUGACGCUUCUUCUGAUAAAACUUGGACAAGGACUCCGCCUCCCGACGCCUCGCAUAAAAUUAGACACAUUUUAACACCUCCUGACAGCAGGACCCAGGUGUUGUCACCUGUGUUCAGUUAUAGCUUAUCUCCAUCGCCUGACAUUACGAGCAGUUACUCUCCCACAGAGCAAGAACAUACAGCUCCCUCACCUGAAAUUAGGAUUACAGCUUCUUCCCCUGAGGUCAGUGAAAGAGAGUUGUCUUCUGAAGUGGAAACAACUCCUGCAUCUCCUUUCCUAGAUCUUCACUCUGACUGUUCCUCAUCAAGAAGCCUCACUUCGUCCCCUCACAUCACAGGGAUUUCUUACUCUGUUGUUCAACCCGAGGACAGGGACACUCCCUCAUUUCCCGAGCUUUCUUGUCUCUCCACCCGUCAACCUGAUAGGACACUUGUUUCCCCUGAAGCAAGGAGCCCUACCCCCCACGGAGACAGUAAACAUAGCAGUAUAGCAGAGUCCACCUGUUCACCAAGAGAUUCACCUUGUAUAUCAGGAGUCACAAGCUCUGACCUGCAGCCAGAAGUAACUGUGUUGCAUCAAGCCAGCUAUCAAACACCUUCACCUCGGCCAGAGCGUCACACUCCCUCGACUGAGCCAAGAUAUCAAACCCCUUCAUCUGACAAGAAUCAAAGUCCCUCGCCUCAGCAAAGGAGUAGAGGUCCAUCACCUGCCUCAUGCCCUGAACAGAGGUAUCAUUGGAAUUCACAACCGACCGUCUCCACUGAGUACAACCGUCAUUGUACCCGGCCUACUCCUCCUCUAAGAAAUACACCCGAGGUUGAGGAGGAUUCCGCUUCAGUUGAUAUUACAGAAAAACAAUACCCAACACAUUUGGCCAAAGAGAGUGUGUCACCCUCAUUUAAACAACAAAACAGAGAGAGGGAAGCAGGACAAAAGGAGGCAACCCUUCAGGAUAAUUCAAGUCUCCCAGAGGAAAAACAACCUAUUACCCCGAAUUUUGGACAGAACGAAGACACUUUUAAAAAUCUACCCAUUGAAAUAAAUACUCCUUCUCCUAAUAGUCUAAUCUUCGAAGACAGGAGUCCAGGUAUCUCACCUGUCCACAGGUCUACAGCAACCUCGCCUGAGCAGAAAAAAGAAACCUCAAUUCAGCCUAAAUUCUCUACGUAUCCGCAAACUUAUGAGAGCAGCGGCUUAUUAAAAUCAGCCUGUACACCUGAGCCUGCCAGAAGACAGCUGUCAGCCAAAAUUAGAGGUGAAACCAGGAACAGGACAACAGAGGACAUGGCCCAGCAUGUAAACAGAAGGCGGACUCCCUCUCCGCCACUCACCAGGUUUACACCUGUCCACAUCAUAGCCCCUGAGAAACCAUACAGACAGUGGCAGAACAGAAGCCGUAGCCCCUCCCAGGUUGUAGCAUCCUCACCCAAUUGUAAUUUGAGGAAAGUGCAGACAAAUAGGGAAUGCCCCGAUGUUGCCUAUGUUGACAAUAAUAGCCAGGCCCAUUGGGUCAGGCAAGGAAGGCAAUUGGAGAUGAAAAGGGAAAUGCAGCUAGAGGACGAAAGGGAGGUAGGUAGGCAGAGGAAAAUUGAUAGGGAGCCAGAGAGCCAGAGAAAGAAGAGGGAGGAGCAGGUUCCUGAAAAGGGGAAGGGUGGGCAGUGGGACGCCAGUUACAGAGGGGAACAGGCUGAACUGUCAUUCAACGCCAAGAAUAGAAAAGGGCCUGCAAGUCGCAGCACAGCUCCCACAAGCAAGGAGACCCGUCAGGGACGGCCAACAGCGCAUUCCUACUCGGAAAGCUUGCUUACCACCAGGCAGAUACAGCAACAACAGAGUCUGCUUCGACUUGCUUCCCAACAAGACAGCAGGGGUGGUGCUCCCAGCAGACGCCGUCAACCUCCUGCACCACACAACAAGAGCAGUCUUCCUGGACGCGUGGCCACACACAGGUCCUGCCGGAGUUCCAGCUCCAGCAUGGGAAGUGAGCUUGAUGAGGCAGACGAUGAGGUGAAAUGGUUCACAGACUUGGCUUUCAACAGCCUCUCAAGCCCUGAGGUAGAUUACCUUGACAUGUACAACUCCAGCCACCGUUCAUCUACCAACAUUUCUCAACCAUCUACACAGGAGAGUCCCGCUGGGGUCAGCACAGCCUGGCCGGCCUAUGCUGACUUCAGGGGUUCUGCUCCUAGGCUGGACAAUGAUGAACUCUCAUUCCAGCAACCACCUGCAUACUACUCAGACGGCCUAGAUCCGUCAAGGCGCUACGAGAUGGGCAGCUUUGAGUGUGUGGAUGUUGCCGUGGAAAAAGAGGACUUCAGAAGGGUGAGAAGAGGAGUGCCGAAAAGACAGAUCCAGCUGAAGAAAAAGAGUGACGCUGAAGGGAAGCAGGAUGAGAGCAGUGAAAAUAGUAGUCCUGGGUUACCAGUGAUGGGGGAGAGCCCCUCUCUAGAGACUCCUUCCAGGGAGAAGCUCAUGAGACAACACAGUACACCAGCAGCAAUGCCAGAAUGCUACGCCUCUGAACGGAACCUUGAGCAGCAUCAACAAAAUAAAAGAAAAUCCAAACUCCAGAAAUCUGCUUCUCUUGAUGAAACAUGCACUAAGACCAAGAUGGCCACUUGUCUUAUCAAGAGUGUGUUAUCCAAGAAGAUGCAGAUUUUUGAAAAACAACCCGAUGAGCAGGUAGGAGAAGAGGGGAGCCCGGCUUUUGAGGAAAACAGACAACCAACAGAGAGCACACAGGUACUCCUCAAAGAGUCCCCACUACCUGACCAACAUGAUCUUAGUUCCAGUCUUCAGUCAGAUCACAGUCUUUUAUCUGAGGGUGUCACUGAGAGAGAAAAGAAAAUCACAAAGGAUAAUUUGAACCCAGCCAAAAGCUUUGGAGCAAGAUCCAGUAAUAGGCCAAGUUCAUCCAGCAGCAGCCGAAGUGUUAACUUUUCAUUGACCGAGAGUGAGGAGGUUGAUUCUCAAAGCACAAAUGCGGCCUCACUAAGAUCUGAAAGGAGAGCAGAACUGAAAGUGCCAUUUGAUAGUAAACAGUCAAGAACUGGAGUACAACAAGCUGAUGAGAGCGAGACAUGGGACAGAGGGGAGGGUGGUGACUCAGCAAAUGCCACCGCCAGGAACUCAGGAGCUCCUCCUGCCACAGGAGCCAGCAGCAUGCAGGCCAGGAGGACAAGCAGAGACCCAGAACGUAAAAACACGGAGGACUAUAAACAACUGGAACAGGAUGCCAGGGGCGCUUACACGUCACAAACACAGGACAUUACUGUCAGAGCUGUGGAGAAAAAGAAAGCCUCCUUAAAUGUCUGUCUCACACCUGAGGCAGAGAACAAACCUUGGGCGUCUUUGCCAGAUAUGAAGGAGGAUCAGCUAGAGACUAGGAUAGAUGAGGAAGAAGAAGGCAACGGGAAUAAUAAAGUUAAGGUCCCCAUUCACAAAGUUAGAGAUGUAAGGCGCCUUGUAAAAAAUACAUAUAAUCUGUCAUUCAAAGCAACUAGUGCUGUAAUGCCAUCCCAUGUGGACAAAGAAAGACUGGACACUUCUAAUGAGGAUAAGAGAAAAGAAAUUAAGGAGAAAAAGAGGGAAGAGGGUACAACUCAGGAAGAGCGGGAGGUAAGGCAUGAGAUAAUAUGGAAGGAGAGGGAGGAGGGGGUCAGCGGGGAGAGGAAAGAGGAACAGAAGGAGGAGUUAAAAGAAUCAAAGCUACAAACCUCUCUACCUCUUCAGAGCAAAGGAAGUUCUAUGUCUCGUCCACAGCCGAUGCAAAUACAAUACAAGGCUGUUUGUUCGUCAAGCAGCAAGAAAGACCUUGGUGAUAAAUGCGAGGCUGCUCAGAAGCUCAUCACACAGGUAAGCAGAGAAUCACACAAGGCACUGAGUUACACAACCGGAGACACAGCAGUUUCAAAGUCAUUUAACCAUGCUGUAGAAGAGGAUGUGACUGAAGUGCAUAAAGAGUCACACAAUGAGGAGAAACCUGUGGGGCUUAAGACCGAGAUAAAACUUCCAAUGCUCGGCAGCCUCCCUAGAUUGCCUAGUAAGGAAAGAGAGGUGUCCACUGCAGUAGUUUUAAUAAGAGAUGGAUCAAGUAAGACCAAGAAAUCCGGAUCUUCAAUCCAUGAAGGGAUUCCCAACCUGCUCCAAACUCGAGCUGAUUUACACUCAUCCGCACCCUCUACCCCCAGCGGUGGCCACUCAGUUUCAAUGCUAUUAAAGGGGAAAGGCUACCAAGCUGACAUUGGAGCAGUAGUGGGCGACAUGACUGAAACUGAGGUUACAGGGAUUAAACAUGUGAACUGCCUAGAGAUCCCCCUUCAGACCGCAAGUCCUUCACAUGGAGGUGAACCUGAGUCUCGUAGAAAGAGGACAUUCUCCUCCUCAUCCACCACGUCUUGUCCCUCGGCUGCAUCCGAGAACACACACACCCUUCCAAAGGCCAGAGAAGACGAGGGCAUUAGAAGUCAGCCUACAAUAAAAGAGACUGAAAAGGAAAAAAGUCCUUCUCAGCUAAGAAACGCGCAGGAGCAGACACCACCUCCUGCUAAACACCAGGAACUUGGAGAUUUUGAAGAUGUGAAAAGACUAGAUCCAACUUUCCCCCCAAGGUCCCCUGCAGCAAGGAAAUUCAAACCACAGGCAAUUGAGGUUAAGUCGCUGUCUAAAGAAACACAGAAACAACAGACGCCCACAGACGUUACAGGAAACAGCAGGCCUCAAACUAUUGAGGUUAAAUCUAUAGCUAAAACUUCUCAAAAGCCAGCGGUACCUCCCAAACCAAGCUGCAAAUUUAAACCAGCCGAUUUAGGGGCAAUGCCAAGUGAAGCGCAGAGACCUUCAGCAACAACUGUAAAGCCACAAAGUGAUGGGAGGUCUCAAACUAUUGUUGUGUCCUCACCGACAAUCUAUAGAAAGCUCUCCAAUGAGUCCACAUCGACGUCAAGCUAUACAAGAAAAGUGGCUGUGUCUGCAGUAUCCAGCCUCAAACCGCCGUCUUGCAAAGCAGCAGCAACCACCAUCUCUAAUCUCUCAAACCAGUCAACAGCAUCAGAGGCCGAGGCAUCUAAUGACAGAGGUCAGCAGCAAAAGCCAGGGGUCAUGCCUCAGACUCCUAGAUAUACACAGAGACCCACAACCUUACCUACAGCUCCAAUAUCAGCCACUCGGCCAGCUUUCACCUCAGCUCCGGGUCCAGUCUUUGACCCCAAACCAAACCAUGUCCCUGGACCUGAAUCAGCUGGAUCCAACAAGCCAAGCCAGGCAGCUGUUAUGUAUCCAGACAGCCAACACCAGUAUUCCAGGUCAGCAUACCCUCACGAACAAGAUAUGGCGGUAACUUCAAACAAUACAAAACAACUUGCAGGUGUUUCCAAAACACAAGUGCCAGGAUACACACACCAGCCAUGCCGGGGAUCCCUCUCAAGUGAGCUCUCCCAAAGGACAGAUGACCUGCUUUUUUAUGCCUCAGACGACCCUCCGAGCUACGACGAAAGAGAGAGCUUCAGUCCCCUCAUCCUCCCAGAUCUGACCUCCAGGAGGGGGCACUAUCAACCCUCAUCCCGCCCUCCUCCUUGCUCGUGCACAGCUGGCUGCCCUUCCCACCCUGGUGUCACCCCUCCUCACCAUCACCGCACCCCCCAUAACCUUACCCCUCCCGCCCCUACACACUCUCCAGGUCAGGCUCUGCCUUACCCGGGCGCUCAACCCCCUCUCCGUCUCCACCAGUGCAGACCUGACGCUCAGCCAAUAAGCUACCAGCCCAGCUCUCCAAAAUCAAGCCCUCUUGGUCCAGGUCAGCCACCGGGCAUGUACCAGCCUCUUCACCAGCCUCCUCCCUGCCCUCCCCACCCCUCAAUCUUGCAGCCCUGCCCUGCCCCGCUGCAGCCCUCCCAGCAUAUUGACCCUCGACGACCACCUGUCCACAGAUCCCCCCAGCAACAGCCGCCACCAAUUGCUGGUGCUCCUUACAGCGAUACAGGCCACAGCAACUCUCCAGGCCUGCCUCCUAUGGAUCCCCAGUACCUGUGUGGCCCUCAAAGUCUUGGGCCCUCCUAUGGCUCUGAAUAUGGGGGAGACAGCUCAAGUUUGUACUCAGAGAGCAGCUAUGGACAGACACCUCGCAGAGUGCUACUAGAUCCUGAAACAGGGAAGUAUUUUUACAUAGAGGUGCCUGUGCAGCCACUGAGAAAAAUGUUAUUUGACCCAGAGACAGGCCAAUACGUGGAGGUGCUGAUCCCGCAGCAGUCAAUGUCACAUUUGGGCAUGUACCCCCCCGCAGCAGCCCCUUACACAUCUCUCCACAACCCCAACAUGUAUGCUCCUGCUCCACAGUACAUGCCCUAUGCAGCUCCUCCUCCCCAAGCCCACCCCCAGACCCAGCCUCAGCCACCCCGAUAUCCUGAGGCCUCUGCCGCUGCAACAAUGCACGCAGGUGGGCCUGGGGUCAGCUACCUGGAGAACAUGUAUUAUGUCCCUACAGGGAUGAAUGCGAGCCCCAAUCCCACCCCACCAGACUAUUACCACAAACAUCCCCCCAACCUCCCCCCAACAGGGGGGAAAAGGUCCUGA
ensembl:lncRNA